ensembl:lncRNA
UUUUCAUCAAGGAAGUUAGUGACUCAGUUCAGCAGGAGCGAUAUUCAUAAAGGAACAGGAAAAGGACUGAGAAUCAUAACAUUUCUAGUUACUGUUGCUGUGUAACCGGUUCCCCCAGAGACGAGCGUCUUCAGAUUGAUGGGUUCGAUCUCUCUGAAGUUCAAGGGACUCUCAAGAGUCUUCUCUAGCACCACAGUUCAAAAGCAUCAAUUCUUCAGCACUCAGCCUUCUUUAUGACCCAGCUCUCACAUCCAUACAUGACUACUGGAAAAAUCAUAGCUUUGACUACGUGGACCUUUGUCAGCAAAAUGAUGUCUCUGUUUUUUUUAAUACACUGACUAGGUUUGUCAUAGCUUUUCUUCCAAGGAGCAAGCGUCUUUUAAUUUCAUUGCUUCAGUCACUGUAAUUACAGUAUAGGUAUUUACAAUUAUAAACCAUUACAAGUAUAGGUAAUUAAAAAAAUUCCUUCUAUUUCUCUGUGCUGAAAAUGUUUUCUGUUAUAAGUGUGUGUCACUUUGUUAUGGGAGGGAAAAGAGACCUCAGGAAGCGGCCAUUACAGUAGAAAGAGUAAGGGCUUCAGGGAGCUGGCCCUGGGUCCUGCUGUGCUACUUAGUAAUUCUCAGCCUGCUUCCUUAUCUGAACAUGGGAGGAAUAUUUCUGUGUUGCUGUGAUGUGUCAAGGAAUGAACAUACCUGAAGCACCUAACGUGGUGCCUUAUGAGCUCAGCCUUCACUCUCUAUAACUUAACUGAUAACUUUUGUGACUGUGAUUAUGGGGUAGGUACAAGACUGAAGUAAUUCAAGAGCCAUGAAUGAUUUUCCCUGAUAGUGAAAGACUAAGGAUGUGAAAAGCUAGGACAUGGAGGGGUGGCUCUUACUGAGAAGCAAAGGCCAUUUGAGCUAAGAGCCUCUACUUACCCAGGUUCCCCCUAAGGUUUUAGGAAGGAUCAGGGCAAAAAUGGAUCAAAUGGUCAUGUGGCUUUGAAAAAAUUUGCAAAAGAUAUUUUAAAAUGCAAUCAGUUAAGACUGCUGUCUCCUUCCACUCUGACCCCCACACCCACCCUGCCCUUGGAUGGCCAUGGAGUGGCCAUGGGGCUUUGGGGGUUGGGAUAUGGGAAAUGGAUGCAUUUACUUCGGUGAGAUGUAUUUAUGCAGGGUGCUGUCACCUUCUUGAAUAGAUAAGCCAUUGAUAGCUGAUCUGGGGUACUAGGGCCUUGCAGAGAAAUUCCCACUGACCACUAUGCCUGCUCACCCAGCUUGAGAUGAAUAAGAACACAUAUAAGAACAGUUAAAAAAAUUGUUUAUUUGAGUUUUGGCUAUGCUGGGUCUUCGUCCCUUUGCACGGGCUUUCUCUAGUUGCUGCAAGGAGGGGCUACUCUUGAUUGCGGGGCUUGUCUUGCUGUGGAGCGCAGGCUCUAGGCACUCGGGUUCAGUAGUUGUGGCUCGCAGGCUGUAGAGUGUGGGCUCACUGGUUGUGGUGAACAGGCUUAGUUGCUCUGUGGCAUGUGGAAUCUUCCUGGACCAGGGAUUGAACCCGUGUCCACUGCAUUUGCAGGCAGAGUAUUAUCCACUGAGCCAUCAGGGAAGUCCCUGUAAGAACACUUUUUACAGGGCCUUGUGCUGACAGUAUGUGGGUACGUGAGGAGAAAAAAGGUUUGAAAUAUACGGAGCCAGAAAGUGUCUGUGGAAAGAUUUUCCAGAUUUUCCAGCCUCUAUAUGAAAG